rnacentral:rRNA from 1 species
AGCGAACGCUGGCGGCGUGCCUAACACAUGCAAGUCGAACGUGAAAAGGGAAACCUGAGUCACGUGGCGUACGGGUGAGUAACGCGUAGGUAAUCUACCCCAGAAUCUGGAAUAACCUGCCGAAAGGCGGGCUAAUACUGGAUAGAGCGAGGGAACUCGUAAGAGAGUUUUUCGGGAAAGGGAGCCCGCAAGGGCCUUCGUUCUGGGAUGAGCCUGCGUCUCAUUAGCUAGUUGGUAAGGUAACGGCUUACCAAGGCGAUGAUGAGUAGCUGGUCUGAGAGGAUGAUCAGCCACACUGGAACUGAAACACGGUCCAGACUCCUACGGGAGGCAGCAGUGGGGAAUCUUGCGCAAUGGACGAAAGUCUGACGCAGCCACGCCGCGUGAGUGAAGAAGGCCGUCGGGUUGUAAAGCUCUGUCGGAUGGGACGAACAUCUUCAUAGUGAAUAGCUAUGAGGACUGACGGUACCAGCAAAGGAAGCACCGGCUAACUCCGUG